UCACGAUUUAAAUUGCCAAAUCACUUAUUGAGCCCAAUUUCAAUGUACACUAAAAUCUAUCAUAUAAAUUUGGAUGUACGUAUUCAUCAAUAAAUUCCAUGUACAGAUAUCAUCAUCUCUUAUUUCCACAUACAUUUACUUUCCACAUUCAUGAAUUCAAAUAGCAUAUACAAGACAUACCAAUGUAUUUCAGGUACGUUUUCAUGAUAUUUCAU
rnacentral:lncRNA from 1 species